rnacentral:rRNA from 1 species
GAUGAACGCUGGCGGCGUGCCUAAUACAUGCAAGUCGAGCGAACAGACGAGGAGCUUGCUCCUCUGACGUUAGCGGCGGACGGGUGAGUAACACGUGGAUAACCUACCUAUAAGACUGGGAUAACUUCGGGAAACCGGAGCUAAUACCGGAUAAUAUAUUGAACCGCAUGGUUCAAUAGUGAAAGACGGUUUUGCUGUCACUUAUAGAUGGAUCCGCGCCGCAUUAGCUAGUUGGUAAGGUAACGGCUUACCAAGGCAACGAUGCGUAGCCGACCUGAGAGGGUGAUCGGCCAAACUGGAACUGAGACACGGUCCAGACUCCUACGGGAGGCAGCAGUAGGGAAUCUUCCGCAAUGGGCGAAAGCCUGACGGAGCAACGCCGCGUGAGUGAUGAAGGUCUUCGGAUCGUAAAACUCUGUUAUUAGGGAAGACCAAAUGUGUAAGUAACUAUGCACGUCUUGACGGUACCUAAUCAGAAAGCCACGGCUAACUACGUG